AUGUGGUGGCACCGCAGGAGCCAUGGGGACCUGCCUCCCGGCCAUGAACGCUCAGGACAAAUCCGGGGUGGAUGGCAACGACCUGUGGCCGGGGGUACCAAAAAUGAAAGAGACACGGAGGACCCUUGGCUUCAAAGUGGCGGAGAAGCGACCGCGAGGAGAAUUCGGGGCACGCGAGGCGGCCACCGGAGACCCGGGGCCAGGGGCACGGACGCCCAGCGGGCCUGGGGCGGUGUGUUCCCCAGCCGGAGCUGCGUGGAGGAGCAGGGCAUCACAGCGCCUGCUCCAGCCGGGAUAAGGGCCUGGGCGAAUCGCCGCCGCCGACGCUCGCGCUGGGACGCAGCGAGAGAGGGUCACCCCAGACUCUGCCCAAUCUUUGGAGCCGGCUUCGUUCGGUUGAUCGAUGAAGGCGUCAGGCCGGCCCACCAUAAAGUCAAUGCAAUCGAUGCGGACGUCCACGACCGCUCGAAACAGAGACCUCUCCCCGUUGCUGCGCGCUCGCCGAGUUCCACGCAACAGGACUUGGAAUCCGACACCCGCAACGUCGCGCGCCGACUCGCUCUCCUGAGCUCCAGGUUCCACACCUGCGAAAUGGGUUUGCUACACCGUGCGGUUUAUUGGAGGCGACGUUUGGGAGAUCCUCACGAGAAGGACCGCGUUUUUCUACACUCGUUAAAUGCAGCAAUCAGAGCGGGUGGGCUCCCCAUUUCCUGGACAGGGAAACAGAGUCACGGGGCGGGGAGUCGUACCGCUCCUCUCCGAGGGAGCUGGGGAUCAACCAGGGCCUGCCCAGCUCUUUGUCUUGGCAGGAGGCGCGCACAGUGGGGAUUCCUUUUCUGCACUGCCCUUUUGGGGAAGAAAUUCCAAUAA
rnacentral:lncRNA from 1 species